rnacentral:tRNA from 1 species
AGCCCCGUGGUCUAGCGUCUUCAAGCCAAAUUGGAGUGGCUCGAGCUAGAAGCCAAUGAUGACGGGCUUUGGACCCGUUGACGGGAGUUCGAAUCUCCCCGGGGCUACCA